AAACACUGCCUUUGAACCUCAUGUCUUGUUUGUAGCUUCACUGGCCAAGCAACAUUGCUAGAGUAUAAGGACUUGUUAUAACUGGGGCUCUUCAGCUCUCAACUGCUCUAUUAAAAACAAGGUACAUUU
rnacentral:snoRNA from 1 species